UGUCUAAAAGCAGUCCUUUCUUUGGCGCGAUGGGAGACGACAGGUGUGGCGUUACAUCCCCACAGACACGCAGAGAUGUUGGCGUUCACAUAAAGCAGUGGUCUGCUGGAGGCCCGUAAGAGAAGCCUGGAAAGGCUCCGGCUGCUUCCUUCACACUGCUGGUCACAGUCAGGGUCUCCGUGCACAAAGAGGAGGUCACGGGCAGUGGAGGAGUUUAUUAUAUAACAUCCAGCCAUAAGAGGUUCCAAAGAAAGAAGCCCCGCGGGGGAGACUGACCUGCAGCUGCAGCCGCUGUGGGAGGACCACCUGUUUUUGGCUGCCGAACCCUCGCCAGCCAAAGUUUAGUACCCGAUCACACAUUCAAAUCCAUACAUGUCAUACGAAGACACACGGAGAAAUGCAAAUAACAAGGCUGCCAGCACCACCUGUUUCUCACAGAGGAUUUGAUAAGACAAAAGUGAAAGCAUAAGUUUGGGCAGCAGAAUAUUUAUAUUAGCCUUUAUAAGCCUUUAAUCAUCUAAUGACCGACACAUUUGUCUUGGGAUCGACCUGCAGGUUGGGAACCACAGCUUUACAGCUUGGUGGUUGCAAAAACAGCUGAAAAUCACUGUUGUUUCGCUUAAAAUAUGAUGGAAGAGAGCAAGCAGCAACAAAACUGUCAUUUUCUAAUUACCAUCAGUGCCAAGAAGAGGCUCGACUUGCUCCUUUAAAACAACACCCUAUGACUGUAAAUGGACCGUGGCGGUCCAACAAAGGUUGUAUAACGACAGCAGAGACUGAACAGAUGAAAUAGUUUGUUGUGACUUCACUGGUUUGCUGUCGUUGUUUAAAAGGAGCCAACUGGCACAAAGAAAACACAGUUUAAACAACAAAAACUUUGUUCACUUUAACCCAAUGUUUAAUAUGGGUGAUAUUUAAAUAAAUUAUAAAUUUGUGAAUCAGA